rnacentral:tRNA from 1 species
GGGCCCAUGGUCUAGCGGUUAUGACACCUGCUUGACAUGCAGGUAAUCACCGGUUCGAAUCCGGUUGGGCCCA